AUUGAACGCUGGCGGCAGGCUUAACACAUGCAAGUCGAGCGAGCGGCGGACGGGUGAGUAAUGUCUGGGAAACUGCCUGAUGGAGGGGGAUAACUACUGGAAACGGUAGCUAAUACCGCAUACCAUCAGAUGUGCCCAGGUGGGAUUAGCUAGUGGGUGGGGUAAUGGCUCACCUAGGCGACGAUCCCUAGCUGGUCUGAGAGGAUGACCGGCAACAAUGGAACUGAGACACGGUCCAGACUCCUACGGGAGGCAGCAGUGGGGAAUAUUGGACAAUGGGCGAAAGCCUGAGGGAGCCAUGCCGCGUGUGUGAAGAAGGCCUUCGGGGUGUAAAGCACUUUCAGCGAGGAGGCGUUACUCGCAGAAGAAGCACCGGCUAACUCCGUGCCAGCAGCCGCGGUAAUUC
rnacentral:rRNA from 1 species